UACGGGGGGAGCAAGCGUUGUUCGGAUUUACUGGGCGUAAAGGGCGCGUAGGCGGUCAGCACAAGUCAGUUGUGAAAUCUCCGGGCUUAACCCGGAAAGGUCAACUGAUACUGUGCGACUAGAGUGCGGAAGGGGCAACUGGAAUUCUCGGUGUAGCGGUGAAAUGCGUAGAUAUCGAGAGGAACACCUGCGGCGAAGGCGGGUUGCUGGGCCGACACUGACGCUGAUGCGCGAAAGCCAGGGGAGCGAACAGG
rnacentral:rRNA from 1 species